AACGAACGCUGGCGGCAUGCCUAACUCAUGCAAGUCGAACGAGACCUUCGGGUCUAGUGGCGCACGGGUGCGUAACGCGUGGGAACCUGCCCUUAGGUUCGGAAUAACUCCCCGAAAGGGGUGCUAAUACCGGAUAAUGUCUUCGGACCAAAGAUUUAUCGCCUUUGGAUGGGCCCGCGUUGGAUUAGCUAGUUGGUAGGGUAAAAGCCUACCAAGGCGACGAUCCAUAGCUGGUCUGAGAGGAUGAUCAGCCACACUGGGACUGAGACACGGCCCAGACUCCUACGGGAGGCAGCAGUGGGGAAUAUUGGACAAUGGGCGAAAGCCUGAUCCAGCAAUGCCGCGUGAGUGAUGAAGGCCUUAGGGUCGUAAAGCUCUUUUACCCGGGAUGAUAAUGACAGUACCGGGAGAAUAAGCUCCGGCUAACUCCGUG
rnacentral:rRNA from 1 species